rnacentral:rRNA from 1 species
GACGAACGCUGGCGGCGUGCUUAACACAUGCAAGUCGAACGGAAAGGCCCUGCUUUUGUUGGUUGCUCGAGUGGCGAACGGGUGAGUAACACGUGAGUAACCUGCCCUUGACUUUGGGAUAACUUCAGGAAACUGGGGCUAAUACCGGAUAGGAGCUCCUGCAGCACGGUGGGGGUUGGAAAGUUUCGGCGGUUGGGGAUGGACUCGCGGCUUAUCAGCUUGUUGGUGGGGUAGUGGCGUACCAAGGCUUUGACGGAUAGCCGGCCUGGGAGGGUGACCGGCCACAUGAGGACUGAGAUACGGCGCAGACUGCUACGGGAGGCAGCAGUGGGGAAUAUUGCACAGUGGGCGGACGCCUGAUGCAGCGACGCCGCGUGCGGGAUGACGGCCUUCUGGUUAUAAACCGCUUUCGCCGGUGACGAAGCGUGAGUGACGGUAAUGGGUAAAGAAGCACCGGCUAACUACGUG